GCGGCGGACGGGUGAGUAACACGUGGGUAACCUGCCCAUAAGACUGGGAUAACUCCGGGAAACCGGGGCUAAUACCGGAUAACAUUUUGAACCGCAUGGUUCGAAAUUGAAAGGCGGCUUCGGCUGUCACUUAUGGAUGGACCCGCGUCGCAUUAGCUAGUUGGUGAGGUAACGGCUCACCAAGGCAACGAUGCGUAGCCGACCUGAGAGGGUGAUCGGCCACACUGGGACUGAGACACGGCCCAGACUCCUACGGGAGGCAGCAGUAGGGAAUCUUCCGCAAUGGACGAAAGUCUGACGGAGCAACGCCGCGUGAGUGAUGAAGGCUUUCGGGUCGUAAAACUCUGUUGUUAGGGAAGAACAAGUGCUAGUUGAAUAAGCUGGCACCUUGACGGUACCUAACCAGAAAGCCACGGCUAACUACGUGCCAGCAGCCGCGGUAAUACGUAGGUGGCAAGCGUUAUCCGGAAUUAUUGGGCGUAAAGCGCGCGCAGGUGGUUUCUUAAGUCUGAUGUGAAAGCCCACGGCUCACCCGUGGAGGGUCAUUGGAAACUGGGAGACUUGAGUGCAGAAGAG
rnacentral:rRNA from 1 species